rnacentral:tRNA from 6 species
GCCGAUAUAGCUCAGUGGCUAGAGCAGCUGUUUUGUAAACAGCAGGUCGUCGGUUCGAACCCGACUAUCGGCUCCA